UACGGAGGGUGCAAGCGUUAUCCGGAUUCACUGGGUUUAAAGGGUGCGUAGGAGGGCAGGUAAGUCAGUGGUGAAAUCUCCAAGCUUAACUUGGAAACUGCCGUUGAUACUAUCUGUCUUGAAUAUUGUGGAGGUGAGCGGAAUAUGUCAUGUAGCGGUGAAAUGCGUAGAUAUCAAGUGGAACACCAGUGGCGAAGGCGAAUCCCUGGAAAAUACCUGACACUGAGGCACGAAAGCUAGGGGAGCAAACAGG
rnacentral:rRNA from 1 species